rnacentral:rRNA from 1 species
AUUGAACGCUGGCGGAAUGCUUUACACAUGCAAGUCGAACGGCAGCACGGACUUCGGUCUGGUGGCGAGUGGCGAACGGGUGAGUAAUGUAUCGGAACGUGCCCAGUCGUGGGGGAUAACGUAGUGAAAAUUACGCUAAUACCGCAUACGGUCUAUGGAUGAAAGCGGGGGAUCGCAAGACCUCGCGCGAUUGGAGCGGCCGAGAUCAGAUUAGGUAGUUGGUGGGGUAAAGGCCCACAAAGGCAACGAUCUGUAGCUGGUCUGAGAGGACGACCAGCCACACUGGAACUGAGACACGGUCCAGACUCCUACGGGAGGCAGCAGUGGGGAAUUUUGGACAAUGGGCGAAAGCCUGAUCCAGCCAUUCCGCGUGCAGGAUGAAGGCCCUCGGGUUGUAAACUGCUUUUGUACAGAACGAAAAGGUUUCUACUAAUACUAGGAGCUCAUGACGGUACUGUAAGAAUAAGCACCGGCUAACUACGUGCCAGCCGCCGCCGUAA